UAAUAGUGUAUAUUAAAGUUGUUGCAGUUAAAAAGCUCGUAGUUGAAUGUUGGUGUCGAACGAGCGGUCAGCUUCGGCUGUACUGCUCUCUCGACUCCUUCCUUCUGUGGACUACGUCGCACUUUACUGUGUGGCGCUAGGACGCAGAUCGUUUACUGUGAAAAAAUUAGAGUGUUCAAAGCAGGCCGUACGCUUGAAUACAUUAGCAUGGAAUAAUGGAAUAGGACGUCGGUCCUAUUUUGUUGGUUCUAGGACCGUCGUAAUGAUUAAUAGGGACAGUUGGGGCCGUUUAUAUUCCGUAGUCAGAGGUGAAAUUCUUGGAUUUACGGAAGAUAAACUACUGCGAAAGCAUUCGGCAAGGAUGUUUUCGUUAA
rnacentral:rRNA from 1 species